AUUGAACGCUGGCGGCAUGCUUUACACAUGCAAGUCGAGCGGCAGCGCGGGGGCAACCCUGGCGGCGAGCGGCGAACGGGUGAGGAACACAUCGGAACGUGCCCCGGAGUGGGGGAUAACGCCGCGAAAGCGGCGCUAAUACCGCAUAUGCUCUGAGGAGGAAAGCGGGGGACCAGCAAUGGCCUCGCGCUCUGGGAGCGGCCGAUGUCCGAUUAGCAGUUGGUGGGGUAAUGGCCCACCAAGGCGACGAUCGGUAGCUGGUCUGAGAGGAUGAUCAGCCACACUGGGACUGAGACACGGCCCAGACUCCUACGGGAGGCAGCAGUGGGAAUUUUGGACAAUGGGGCAACCCUGAUCCAGCCAUGCCGCGUGCGGGAAGAAGGCC
rnacentral:rRNA from 1 species